rnacentral:lncRNA from 1 species
GAUUAGACUGAUAGCCAUUUUUUCUUAGAUAUAUAUAGAUGGAUAAAAUUACUUUAAUACAGAGUAAAAAUAGGACAAAUAUAUACAUUAUAUAAAACAACAUAUAUCACAUACAUAAAAAAAAAGAUAAAAUAGUUUUUCUUAUGUAAAUAUUUGCUUUGGCAUCCUUUUCUUUUUUCACUUUUUUUUUCUUAUCCUUCCUGUUUUAUAUUAUAAUUUUUAUCAUUCUUUUAAAUUAUUAUAUAUAUAUAUAUAUAUAUAUAUAUAUAUAUAUUUUUUUUUUUUUUUUUUUUUUUUUUUUCUACUUCUUUAUAUUAUCACCACAGAUCCCUUAGAUUAUAUUCGUUUGAAUGUAGAAGAAGAAAUUUUUGUAAAAUGUAAAGGGGAUAGAGAAAUAAUAGGAGUAUUGGAUGUCUAUGAUAAUCAUUUGAAUAUGAUUUUAUCAAAUGCUAGAGAAACAUAUAAACAAAUUACCAUCGAAGAUAAUGAAGAAAUUGUUAAAUGAUAUUAAAUAUUAAAAAUUUUUUUUUUUUAAAUUAAAUUAUAUUAAAAAAAAAGAAAAAGAAAAAAAUAAUCAAUAAAUAUUAAGAAGUAACGAAAAACGUUUGAUUC